UGGCAAUUGGAAUGAGAACAAUUUAAAUCCCUUAUCGAGUAUCAAUUGGAGGGCAAGUCUGGUGCCAGCAGCCGCGGUAAUUCCAGCUCCAAUAGCGUAUAUUAAAGUUGUUGCAGUUAAAAAGCUCGUAGUUGGAUUUCUGGCAGGAGUGACUGACCACAGACUCUGUUUGUGAGUUGUGUCAUUCUGGCCAUCCUUGGUAAGAUCCUUUUUGGCAUUAAGUUGUCGGGAAGGGGAUGACCAUCGUUUACUGUGAAAAAAUUAGAGUGUUUAAAGCAGGCUUAUGCCGUUGAAUAUAUUAGCAUGGAAUAAUAAGAUAGGACUUUGAGUCUAUUUUGUUGGUUUGCGAGUCAAAGUAAUGAUUAAUAGGGACAGUUGGGGGUAUUCGUAUUUCAUUGUCAGAGGUGAAAUUCUUGGAUUUCUGAAAGACGAACUACUGCGAAAGCAUUUACCAAGGAUGUUUUCAUUAAUCAAGAACGAAAGUUAGGGGAUCGAAGAUGAUUAGAUACCAUCGUAGUCUUAACCAUAAACUAUGCCGACUCAGGAUUGGCGGUUGUUUUUUGACUCCGUCAGCACUGUAUGAGAAAUCAAAGUCUUUGG
rnacentral:rRNA from 1 species